CUCAAUAACUCAAAUCUAGCAAAGUAAUUGGACAGACUUUAGCAAUGUAUACCAUACUAUUGAAUCAGAUGCCUUCAAAUCUUCAAUUUCGAAUCGGAGGGGCAUAGCCGAGGGUCUUUAAUUUUGUAUGAUUUGAUUCAAAUCUGGAAGCAAGCCCUUCAAAGCAGAGAAUUCGUAUGAUGAUUUGGUUCGAAUUCGAACAGAAUUACACCACCCCUCCCAUUGCAACCACCGUCCAAGAAACCGCCGCUGCAACCACCGCCUCCUCUUGAACCGCCGACAAAGUAGAAGCAGAUCUGGUUUCGAAAUGUACAGAUCGGAACCCUAGCCCCUUUAAGAAUCGAGCCUAGUUGUGGUUCAAGAACCAGUUGGUGGUUCAAGAUCGGUUCCCUUAGACAUUGUUCGACCCCCUCUAGUUGUGGUUCAAGAACCAGUAGAAGCAGAUCUUGUUCAAUCCCCUCUAAAUCGUCGUGUUCUACCAAUUCGGUUCCCUCAGACAUUCCGACCCCCACCAAGGUUCGUCUUCUGCUUCGUCAUCUUCUGGUCGGCUGGUGAUGGUGGCUGGUUUAGGUGAUGGCGGUGGUGCUUGAGAGGGAGAGGAAGAGGAAGAUAGGUGAACAGAGACUUCUAGUUUUUGUUAUGCAUAUAUACUAGGUUAUAACCCCGUGUAUUACACGGGUUGAAUAAAUGAAUUUUAUAUACCAAAUAAUAAAUCAUUAUCUUUUUAAAAGCUUCCUUUAUUGCACGGGUUCAAUAAAUGUAAUUUUAUAUAUUAAAUAAUAAAAUAAGUUAUAUCUAUAAGAACCAUAUGUAUUGUACGGGUUGAAUAAAUGUAAUAUUAUAUACCAAACAAUAAAAAAAAUUAU
rnacentral:lncRNA from 1 species